ACCCCUCGAGAGUGGCGAACGGGUGAGUAAUAUAUCGGAACGUGCCCAGUCGUGGGGGAUAACGUAGCGAAAGUUACGCUAAUACCGCAUACGAUCUAUGGAUGAAAGCGGGGGACUCGCAAGAGCCUCGCGCGAUUGGAGCGGCCGAUAUCAGAUUAGGUAGUUGGUGGGGUAAAGGCUCACCAAGCCAACGAUCCGUAGCUGGUCUGAGAGGACGACCAGCCACACUGGAACUGAGACACGGUCCAGACUCCUACGGGAGGCAGCAGUGGGGAAUUUUGGACAAUGGACGCAAGUCUGAUCCAGCCAUUCCGCGUGCAGGAUGAAGGCCCUCGGGUUGUAGACUGCUUUUGUACGGAACGAAAAGGUCUCUAUUAAUACUAGGGGCUCAUGACGGUACCGUAAGAAUAAGCACCGGCUAACUACGUGCCAGCAGCCGCGGUAAUACGUAGGGUGCAAGCGUUAAUCGGAAUUACUGGGCGUAAAGCGUGCGCAGGCGGUUAUGUAAGACAGAGGUGAAAUCCCCGGGCUCAACCUGGGAACUGCCUUUGUGACUGCAUAGCUAGAGUACGGUAGAGGGGGAUGGAAUUCCGCGUGUAGCAGUGAAAUGCGUAGAUAUGCGGAGGAACACCGAUGGCGAAGGCAAUCCCCUGGACCUGUACUGACGCUCAUGCACGAAAGCGUGGGGAGCAAACAGGAU
rnacentral:rRNA from 1 species